rnacentral:pre_miRNA from 1 species
UGAUUGUCCAAACGCAAUUCUGGUGAAAUGUCAAAUCCAGCCCGAGAAUUGUGCCUGGACAUCUGU